CUACGGGGGGCUCCAGUAACGAAUAUUGCACAAUGAACGAAAGUUUUAUGCAGCAAUGCCGCGUGUAGGAUGAAGCCCCUCGGGGUGUAAACUACUGUCAGGGGCUAGAAAGUGCGCUUCGGCGUAUUGAUCAACCCCAGAGGAAGCAACGGCUAACUUCGUGCCAGCAGCCGCGGUAAUACGAAGGUUGCAAGCGUUGUUCGGAAUCACUGGGCUUAAAGCGCGCGUAGGCGGAAUUUCAAGUGUCUUGUGAAAGCCCCCGGCUUAACCGGGGAAUUGCUCGGCAAACUGGAAUUCUUGAGACAAGUAGGGGUACAUGGAACUCUUAGUGGAGCGGUGGAAUGCGUAGAUAUUAAGAGGAACGCCAAUGGUGAAGACAGUGUACUGGGCUUGUUCUGACGCUGAGGUGCGAAAGCGUGGGGAGCGAACGGGAUUAGAUACCCUGGUAGUC
rnacentral:rRNA from 1 species